GAUGCAUCGAUCCUUACCGCGCGAGCGCCAUCGGAACGCGCGCAGGAUAGAUUUUCCCAACAAAAUUGCCUCGAUACAGCCAGCGGCGCAUCUCGCCGCCGAAGAAGUCCGCAGUUCCAUCUCUCUGCCACCUCCCACCCGCCUCGCCUUGUGCGCUAUCGAGCUGCUACACUUCGGCACUUCCUCUGAUAAUGGUGUCCAGCCUGAAUGGGAUGUCUGUUGGAUAUUUGCUUGCUGACAAUACCAUGGAGUACCCUACGAGCAAUUACUGGACCCCCCAAAAAAACGAUUUGGGGAUGGUUGCUUCAGUGUGAUCGCUAUUAAAUUUUAAAUAGUGGGGAUGCCAUUUCCAUCCAUUCAUCUCUUCCUCUAGCUUGUCUGAAAGUUAUGAUACAGCAGGGCCUCUUUGUUUCAGGUUGGAUGAAGACGGAGAACAAGGUGGCCUCUUUGUUUGACUGAUAUAUUUGGCCUCUUUUAUAUUUGGCCUCUUUUGCCAAUACAAGAAGAUAAUGGUGUCCAGCCUGAAUGGGAUGUCUGUUGGAUAUUCGCUUGCCGACAAUACCAUGGAGUCCCCUACGAGGUCAGAGGGUCCCUCUUGCGCCGGGUUUGUGUGAUCUGAUUCCGUGUAUAUUUCCUGUGCACAUUUCGCCCAUGGUAGUUUCAUGUAUACUUCUCUUCUCGCUUGUCGAAAAUCAGAAAUGGAAUAUAGAGAUAUGAUGUAUAUACUCUUUUGAUCCUGCACUAUCGAGUAGGAUUACUGUUGGUUGGUUCCUCAUUUAUUUCAGCUAUACUAUGCACUUCUUUUGCCCACAAGGUGUCUAUUGUUCCAUCUUAUCCACAAAGUUUUUAAUAAAACUGUAAACAUCCUAAUUUCCUUGUUAAUCUUUUGAGAAACGCAGUCCAUUUUCUUGGAUUUUAGAUAGCUGCAGAUGGUAUUGGUGUCAGACAGUCAGUAAGGUGUGGCUUCUGUUUCAAAUAUUUCAGCAAUUACCAGACUCCCCCAAAAAAUCACCAGACUCCCCCAAAAAAUUAAGAUUUGUGGAUGGUUGCUUCAGUGUGAUUGCUAUUAAAUUUUAGCUAGCGGGAUGCCAUUUCCAUCCAUUCCAUCUCUUCCUCAAGCUUGUUUGAAUGCUAUGAUACACAGUAUGGCCUCUUUGUUUCAGGUUGGACGAAAACGAAGAACAAGGUGGCCUCUUUGUUUCACUGAUAUAGUUGGUCUCUUUUGCAAAUGCAAGAAGAUGAAGCAAAUCUGUAGAUUAUUGCAACUAUCAGAAAUGGGCAAGCGCUUGCGGCAGGGCAAGGACACCUCCAGGACAUACUGAAAAGCCCUGGCAGUACUUCAAGUUGUGCAAAUCACUUCAGCCAUGUGAUGUACUCCCUCCGUAAAGAAAUAUAAGAGCGUUUAGAUCACUAAAAUAGUGAUCUAAACACUUCUAUAUUUGUUUACAGAGGGAGUAUUUAUCUGCUGGUUGUAAAUUUGUAAUAGAAUGCAGAGUAGUCUCCCUUUGAAAAAAGAAAGGCAGAGAGAGACAGUCCUCUAUUGUCCCCUUUCUUGUAACAUGAACAAUUUUCAUCAUAAGAGCAAAUCGAUCCGACUGCUCCACAUCACACUGGAGUAGGUGCAUUUAGCUA